ACUGGGUUGGCCAAAAGAUUUGUUCAGGUUUUUCUAUAACAUCUAAGAGAAAAACCCAAAUGAACUUUUGGCCAACCCAGU
rnacentral:miRNA from 1 species